rnacentral:rRNA from 1 species
UAACACAUGCAAGUCGAGCGGCAGCGGAAAGUAGCUUGCUACUUUGCCGGCGAGCGGCGGACGGGUGAGUAAUGUCUGGGAAACUGCCUGAUGGAGGGGGAUAACUACUGGAAACGGUAGCUAACACCGCAUAACGUCGCAAGACCAAAGAGGGGGACCUUCGGGCCUCUUGCCAUCAGAUGUGCCCAGAUGGGAUUAGCUAGUAGGUGGGGUAACGGCUCACCUAGGCGACGAUCCCUAGCUGGUCUGAGAGGAUGACCAGCCACACUGGAACUGAGACACGGUCCAGACUCCUACGGGAGGCAGCAGUGGGGAAUAUUGCACAAUGGGCGCAAGCCUGAUGCAGCCAUGCCGCGUGUUAUGAAGAAGGCCUUCGGGUUGUAAAGUACUUUCAGCGGGGAGGAAGGCGAUAAGGUUAAUAACCUUGUCGAUUGA